GAGCAAUUUCGCAAACAAUGGCGCAUCGAAGCCAAAAUGUUAAAAUUGAUGAAUUUCGGCUUCGAAUAACUUUUGUUUUUAAGGCCAUCCUUUUAUAAUAUUUGGUAGGACUAAAUUUAUAGCCUUUAUCUAAAUUCCUACCGAAGCACUUUAUUCGAUUUCGUCUUUGAUCGGAGUAAAAAUGCAUUUGAAUAAGGCCACCAAAUACAGCUUUUCGAUGUCAACGCUAAUAAUAUAACGUUUAGCGUCUGAGGUUGCGGUCAAAAGAAAGAUGGAAUUAUCGACCAAGAAACAGAAAUUGAGGAGAUUAGACGAAAAGGUAUGUUUGGCAUUUGUUUAUUGUAUUAUUUGUACAAAACAAGGGAUAAUAUAUUGAUAUGUUUUGAAAGGCAGGCGUGUGUACUUGUUGACUUGUAUAUUAUAUACAUUCUUGAGCGCGCAAGAACUAUAAUACCUAUAGCGGCCUAUAGCUACAAACCCUUUAAUUAACCCUAUAUUUUCGAGUUUGGAGGGUUUAAAACAAGGGAAAUAUGUUUAAAAUUACGAACAAUGUGUUGUAUAUUAUAUUUCCACAUUGACAGUUGUCACACAGAUUUAUUAUAAGUAGAUUGACUAGACAAUAUGCCAUGUUCCAUAGGUAAAUUCUAAGUUUUGAGGGAUUUGUAAGUAAUCUUUGAGGGAACUGGCUCAGUGUUACAUUUCAGCACAUAGCAUGCAAUUCUGACAAAUGUAAUUAAACUCUGUUACUAUAUAAAUGUGAAGUUUUUUUAACUUUGAAGUUAGAAAUAUCUUUUGAAUAUUGAAACAAACCUAUAAUUGCUUGCAAUGGCAGCAUGGUCUAGGUGUUGCAUUUGUACACAGACUUGAUUUAUAGUUUCAGCAAUCUAUGAACUCAUUGAGUCGCAUUGCGCCCUCGCCGCCCUGAUGGGCCCUACUUUAUUAUUUUACUUUGUCUAACGCCAGACGAUUUUACUUGUCAAGGGGAGAGUGCUGGCGCAGCUUAAUUGGUUAACUAGCCUAUAUGUCUAUGUGUCUAGUUAGUGCAUUGAGUUACAUUACACCCUAUGUUAUUAUUUUACUCUGUCAGUCUCUAUCUACCAGCAGACAAGUUAACUUGUCAACGGAGAAUGCUGGCGCUUAAUAGUUAACUAGCUUAUAUGUUUAUGUGUCUAGUUAACCUAUUGAGUCGCAUUGCGCCCCGAUGCGCCCUACUUUAUUAUUUACUCUGUCUACCUGCAGACGAUUUUACUUGUCAAGAGGAGAGCACUGGUGCUUAAACGGCUUAAUGAUUAACUACCCUAUAUGUCUUUAUGUCUAGUUAGUGCAUUGAGUCACAUUGCACCCUGAUGCACCCUAUGUUAUUAUUUUACUCUGUCAGUCUCUAUCUAACGGCAGACAAGUUAACUUGUCAACAGAGAGGGCUGGCGCUUAAUGGUUGACAAGCUUAUAUGUCUAUGUGUCUAGUUAGCCCAUUGAGUCGCACUGCGCCCUGAUGCGCCCUACUUUAUUAUUUUACUCUGUCUAACGGCAGACGAUUUUACUUGUCAAGGGGAGAGGGCUGGCGCUUAAUGAUUUAAGUUCUGAAAGUAGCAAGAACCACCCAUGUGAGGCUUAUGUUUUUAUAUACCAAGGAUACAGCCACAAUACAUCCAUGGAUUGUCGGUCCACCUUUUGUGUUAACUCAGUAAGCCGCAGUGUUUCGCAGUGUCACCAUCAGUCAUUUGCUUGUUUUGUAUAUGCGAUACUGAGUAGAUAUGUUAUGUGCCCCAAAGACAGUCGUGUUUACAGGCUAUACCUGUAGUAAUUGGGCUACUUUGUUAUUUCGGUCUUAUAUCAGUCAGAUAUUUAAAUUUACCCUUAAACAGAGUUACCGUACUGUAAGAGUAUUGGGUUUAUCAGUUACAGUGAUGCAAGAUUUUUAAUCUCUAAACCUUUACCAUUUUCUUCUAGGUCUUGCAAGGCAAAGUUUAUUUACUAAUGGCAGAAUAUUGUGAAAUAAUGUGUCACUGAGUUUGGAUUAUUCCUGCCUACUAUACUGAACUAUAUGUGUA